rnacentral:rRNA from 1 species
CCAAUAGCGUAUAUUAAAGUUGUUGCAGUUAAAAAGCUCGUAGUUGAAUUUCGAGACCGGCUUACUGGUCGUGCUAUUGUGCGUACUGGUAUAAUCGGUUUCUCCUUUCUGACGAACUAUAAUGCCAUUAAUUUGGUGUUAUAGGGAAUCAGGACUGUUACUUUGAAAAAAUUAGAGUGUUUAAAGCAGGCUCACGCUUGAAUACAUUAGCAUGGAAUAACGGAAUAGGACGUUUGAUUCUAUUUUGUUGGUUUCUAGGAUCGACGUAAUGAUUAAUAGGGAUAGUUGGGGGCAUUAGUAUUCAAUUGUCAGAGGUGAAAUUCUUGGAUUUAUUGAAGACUAACUACUGCGAAAGCAUUUGCCAAGGAUGUUAUCAUUAAUCAAGAACGAAAGUUAGGGGAUCGAAGACGAUCAGAUACCGUCGUAGUCUUAACCAUAAACUAUGCCGACUAGGGAUCGGAUGAUGUUAAUUUUUUAAUGACUCAUUCGGCGCCUUACG